CCACUGGCGCAACCACCGCCUCUUCCACGGCGCGACUGCCACUCCUCCAUGGUCGCAAUCGCCUCUGCCAUCAACUUCUUCAUCGUCUCCAGCCCAACACCUGUUUGAGGCAUUUGACUCUCUAUAGAAUCAGAAUCGAUCAUCCUUUGGAGAGCAUGGAGCUAAUAGCCUAGCUUUCCUUUGUAGAAAAAAAAAAACUAAAUGUUGAUAAAAUUGAUUUGAAUCAUAUAUUUGAAAGCAAAUGGAAGAUUUUUUUUCACUACCUAAUGAAUCCAACCCAACUCAACCCUUAAUAUCUUUGUUGGAAGUAGGGUUGGGUUGUGCAAUAAAAAAAAUGUGAAUGACUCGUAGUUUUUACAAAUUGUAGUUAUUAGAUUGGCCCAUUCAAACACCCUCAACCCGGCCGGUCAGCCAAUGUGCAUCCAUGUAUGUGCUCCAUAUGUAUCCCAUAUCUGCAGACAACGCCGUAUAGAUCGUGUGUGAUGGUAAGAAUUGCAUGUCAUAUUCAAUGUAUACUCACGAAAUGUAGUAACAAUCCUUUACAUGGAUGACUACAAUGCUACGAGAUCUCUUUCUUGUACAAAUCAUCAGACACCACUAAACAAUGCAUUCAGAAGCAACAAUAUUACUUUA